rnacentral:lncRNA from 7 species
GCAAGAAACAGAGGGAGCUUGUCAUGCUGCUGGAGCACUGAAGAUGGAAGAAAACAAAUCACAAUUUUUUACAGAUGAAGAGGAAAACAAAUGUUUACCUCAUGUUUCUUCUGAGGAGAGCUCUGGCAAAUAAAUUAACUUCUCAGCCAUCAGCUUUCCACAGAAUCUCUGGCUACUGGUUGGAAGUGACCAAUUUAAGACCAUUGGAUAGUCUUACUUAUUUACUGUGCUGUAAUCUAUGAAAAAUGUAGAAGUACAGGGUAGGAAAGGACCUUUGAGAGUUUUUUAGACUGAAACCAAGAAAAGGUUGAUUCAAUCAAUUUAAUCUGCACAGAUUCACCAAAAUAAAAUGUGACUGCAAAAGGCCUCCUUCCUGAAUUUCCAGCAGAGGAAGAAGAAGCACUUGCUGCUCAUAGGAAGGCACAUCAGUUGCUCCAAAAUGAACCAACUCCCACAGUAUUCUGGUGGGAGGGAUAGAGGGCCCAAUAACAUAAGCCUUGGCAACACAGGAGAUGAGGACAACAGAAAACAUUCUGAUCUUAAUUUCUUUCUGGCUGUUUUCAGUUACUCUUCUACUAUAACCCAUGCUUCAAGAGAGAUUAACCACAACUACUUGAACAUUGCAAGCCAAGAGUUACCCAGAAGAGACAUGCCCUGGCUGUGCCUGCCUUGCAGAGAGAUCUGAACACAAACUAUGUGAGGAGCAGCCCAGGUACCCAGCCCACAUGGGGAGCAGCAGCAGCAGAGCAAGAAAGGAGCUUGCUGGUGGCAGAAAAGGAAGAAUGCACAGAGACUGUGGUACACACUGGCCCCCCACCACUCAAGUGCCCCAGGAAAGCCACCACCUGAGCUCCAAACAGCACUGCUCCAACCCUGCCAGACCCUGCUGCCACCAAGCAGCAGCCAGACCUUGGGUACCAUUCCUGCUCCUUCACCACACAAUGCCCCAUCUUUCAUGGCACGCAGUUUUACAACUGGCCCACCACCAUUGGAGCUUCUCCAGCUCUCACAGGCAUCAGAGCUGCAGGCUCCUUGGGCCACCUUGUCUUUCCUGAAUCAAUCCUUUGCAAUGUGGGCAACUGCCGUUCUUAUGUCACCUGCCUGGUAGCCCUGGACAACUCAGCACUGCUCAACUUGCACCUGCAGCUCUGACAGGGCAGAUACAGGUAAUAAGCCUGCACCUCAGUGAAAACAGUGGAGACAGCCACACCAUUACAGGUUCCUAAGUUACUAAUUCAUAGUACUGGAAAUAAGAUGUGUCAGUAAUAAACCUUCUCAUGUCCU